rnacentral:lncRNA from 1 species
CACCGAAGAGCAAGCUAUAAAAGGUCCAUAUGCUCUGAUUUGAAAGGGGGAAAUAUUGCUUUUGUAAACAAACAUGAAAUAUUCUAACAUCAUUCAUCAAUAAAAUUAGACCUAAAUGUCCGAUAACCUGACAAUAUACAGAAUCUCCAUAGCGAACAAAAAUGUUAUCUAGUAAAAAUUCAAGUCGGAUAUAGUGUCGAAGCAUUUUAAAAUGUCCUGUACCAAGUCAGGAAUAUGGCCAUUGUCAUGAUUGUUAUAUUAUAGUUCGUUUCUGUGUGUGUUACAUUUUAACGUUGUGUUUCCGUUGUGUCGUUUGUUUUCUCUUAUUUUUGAGUGUGAAUUCACAUUACUAUAAGACGUGUCACGGUACUUAUCUAUCCCUAAUUCAUGUAUUUGGUUUUGAUGUGAUAUUUGUUAUUCUCAUAGGAUUUUGUCUUAUGCUUAGUCCGUUUUUGUGUGUGUUACAUUUUAAUGUUGUGUCGUUGUUCUCCUAUAUUUAAUGCGUUUC